AUUGAACGCUGGCGGAAUGCUUUACACAUGCAAGUCGAACGGUAGAGGGGGCAACCCCUUGAGAGUGGCGAACGGGUGAGUAAUAUAUCGGAACGUGCCCAGUCGUGGGGAUAACGUAGCGAAAGUUACGCUAAUACCGCAUACGAUCUAAGGAUGAAAGCGGGGGAUCGCAAGACCUCGCGCGAUUGGAGCGGCCGAUAUCAGAUUAGGUAGUUGGUGAGGUAAAGGCUCACCAAGCCAACGAUCUGUAGCUGGUCUGAGAGGACGACCAGCCACACUGGAACUGAGACACGGUCCAGACUCCUACGGGAGGCAGCAGUGGGGAAUUUUGGACAAUGGACGCAAGUCUGAUCCAGCCAUUCCGCGUGCAGGAUGAAGGCCCUCGGGUUAUAAACUGCUUUUGUACGGAACGAAAAGGUUUCUAUUAAUACUAGGAGCUCAUGACGGUACCGUAAGAAUAAGCACCGGCUAACUACGUGCCAGCAGCCGCGGU
rnacentral:rRNA from 1 species